CCUACGGGAGGCAGCAGUGAGGAAUAUUGGUCAAUGGACGAGAGUCUGAACCAGCCAAGUAGCGUGAAGGAUGACUGCCCUAUGGGUUGUAAACUUCUUUUAUAUGGGAAUAAAACGUUCCACGUGUGGGAUUUUGUAUGUACCAUAUGAAUAAGGAUCGGCUAACUCCGUGCCAGCAGCCGCGGUAAUACGGAGGAUACGAGCGUUAUCCGGAUUUAUUGGGUUUAAAGGGAGCGUAGGUGGAUUGGUAAGUCAGUUGUGAAAGUUUGCGGCUCAACCGUAAAAUUGCAGUUGAAACUGGCAGUCUUGAGUACAGUAGAGGUGGGCGGAAUUCGUGGUGUAGCGGUGAAAUGCUUAGAUAUCACGAAGAACUCCGAUUGCGAAGGCAGUUCACUGGACUGCAACUGACACUGAGGCUCGAAAGUGUGGGUAUCAAACAGGAUUAGAUACCCUAGUAGUC
rnacentral:rRNA from 1 species